AUUGUUGAACGUUUGCAUUUAAUGGCAUUGUUAAACAAUAUUUUUAAGAAGAGAAAUGUAUAAUCUUCUUUCAAUUAUUUUUAUAAAUUUCCUUGUUUUCUUUAAUCAAAAAAUAUACUGUGAAAAUGUUUUUUUUCCAAAUUUGCCAAUUGGAGAAUACCAUAUAAAAUUUAAAGCAGGUUUUAAAUGCAAUUCUAGUAUUCAUUAUAAAAUUGACUUAAACCUUCACCAAAGUAAGAUUGCCAGUUCAAAAACAGUGAUUACUGGAAAUAUGAGCUUUCAUAUUCCGUUAGAUGAUUCAUUAAUUGUAGACGUUAACGUGGCCGUUUUAGAUAAAAUAGGAGGUUGGAAAGACAACGCAUAUGUCUUUCAAAUUUUAAAUGCUUGUUCAGCAGGAUUAUCUAUUCUUGGGCCUGCUGCUUACAAGACUCUAUUCAAAAGUUUCAAUGCAACUGAUGAUUCUUGCCCUAUAAAAGCGCCAAUGAAUCAACUGGAAAAUGGAUAUGCGCAUUUUCCUCACAAUCACGCGGGACAUUCAAUUGUACAAGCUAUUCACUCGUGAACUUCGUGUUCUCAGGAAUUAAAAAAUGCAUUAUUACUUGUUUAACUUCAAUAAUAAUUUCACAACGGUCAACUUCCAAGAAAUAAAUAAAGCAAUAGCAAGUUCAUCGUUCAUUAAUUGUUAAAACUUUAAAUACUUAAGGUUUUAUUUUAUCAUUUUCUUGUAUGAAAUCAUUAUGACAAUUGGUAUGUUAUCCUGUAAUUCUACAUCGCCUUACUACUCUAUAUCUUCUAGUGGUAAGAAU